GACGAACGCUGGCGGCGUGCUUAACACAUGCAAGUCGAACGAUGAACCAGGGCUUGCCCUGGGAAUUAGUGGCGAACGGGUGAGUAACACGUGGGCAACCUGCCCCAGACACCGGGAUAACCUCUCGAAAGAGUGGCUAAUACCGGAUACGACCACUUUGGGCAUCCAACGGUGGUGGAAAGGAUUCUGGUCUGGGAUGGGCCCGCGGCCUAUCAGCUUGUUGGUGGGGUAAUGGACUUCCAAGGCGACGACGGGUAGCCGGCCUGAGAGGGCGACCUGCCACACUGGGACUGAGACACGGCCCAGACUCCUACGGGAGGCAGCAGUGGGGAAUAUUGCGCAAUGGGCGAAAGCCUGACGCAGCGACGCCGCGUGAGGGACGAAGGUCUUCGGAUUGUAAACCUCUUUCAGCAGGGACGAAGCGAAAGUGACUGUACCUGCAGAAGAAGCACCGGCUAACUACGUGCCAGCCGCCGCCGUAACAC
rnacentral:rRNA from 1 species